UACGGAGGGUGCGAGCGUUGUCCGGAAUCACUGGGCGUAAAGGGCGCGUAGGCGGCUUCUCAAGCGUGUGGUGAAAGUCCGGGGCUCAACCCCGGAUCGGCCGUGCGGACUGGGGAGCUCGAGUUCUGUAGAGGCGGGUGGAAUUCCGGGUGUAGCGGUGGAAUGCGUAGAGACCCGGAGGAACACCAGUGGCGAAGGCGGCUUCCUGGUCUGCGACUGACGCUGUGGCGCGAAAGCUAGGGGAGCAAACGGG
rnacentral:rRNA from 1 species